UCCGAGGUAGCAAUACUUGGUGAGAGUGGCGCACGGGUGCGUAACACGUAUGCAACCUACCUAUAACCGGGACAACAACCUCGAGAAAUUGAGGCUAAUAUCCCAUAACACUGCGAGAUGGCAUCAUUUGCAGUUAAAACUCCGGUGGUUAUAGAUGGGCAUGCGCGACAUUAGCUAGUUGGUGAGGUAACGGCCCACCAAGGCUACGAUGUCUAGGGGUUCUGAGAGGAUUAUCCCCCACACUGGUACUGAGACACGGACCAGACUCCUACGGGAGGCAGCAGUAAGGAAUAUUGGUCAAUGGGCGCAAGCCUGAACCAGCCAUGCCGCGUGAAGGAUGACGGCCCUAUGGGUUGUAAACUUCUUUGUACGGGAAAAAACCUCUGGUCGAGAAUCAGAGCUGAUGGUACCGUAAGAAUAAGCAUCGGCUAACUCCGUG
rnacentral:rRNA from 1 species